CUACUCGGGUUUCUAAUCCUGUUCGAUCCCCACGCUUUCGUGCCUCAGCGUCAAUCAGACCAUAGUAAGCUGCCUUCGCAAUCGGUGUUCUGAGACAUAUCUAUGCAUUUCACCGCUACUUGUCUCAUUCCGCCUACCUCUAGUCCAUUCAAGCCCAUCAGUAUCAAGGGCACUGCGAUAGUUGAGCUACCGUCUUUCACCCCUGACUUAACAGGCCGCCUACGCACCCUUUAAACCCAAUAAAUCCGGAUAACGCUUGGAUCCUCCGUAUUACCGCGGCUGCUGGCAC
rnacentral:rRNA from 1 species